rnacentral:misc_RNA from 1 species
GAUGAAGAACGUAGCGAAAUGCGAUACUUGGUGUGAAUUGCAGAAUCCCGUGAACCAUCGAGUCUUUGAACGCAAGUUGCGCCCGAAGCCAUUAGGCCGAGGGCACGCCUGCCUGGGCGUCACACGUCGUUGCCCCCCCAUCUACUCCUUCGGGAUUGCGGGGGGCGGAUGAUGGCCUCUCGUGCGCCUCGUCGCGCGGUUGGCCUAAAUGCCAAGUCCUCGGCGACGCACGCCACGACAAUCGGUGGUUGCGAAACCUCGGUUGCCUGUCGUGUGCGGUCGUCGCGCAUCGAGGGCUCGAAAAAAUUGCCGGGCUUCGGCUCGACUUUCAACGCGACCCCAGGUCAGGCGGGGUUACCCGCUGAAUUUAAGCAUAUCAAUAAGCGGAGAA